rnacentral:rRNA from 1 species
GAUGAACGCUGGCGGCGUGCCUAAUACAUGCAAGUCGAGCGAACAGACGAGGAGCUUGCUCCUCUGACGUUAGCGGCGGACGGGUGAGUAACACGUGGAUAACCUACCUAUAAGACUGGGAUAAAUUCGGGAAACCGGAGCUAAUACCGGAUAAUAUAUUGAACCGCAUGGUUCAAUAGUGAAAGACGGUUUUGCUGUCACUUAUAGAUGGAUCCGCGCCGCAUUAGCUAGUUGGUAAGGUAACGGCUUACCAAGGCAACGAUGCGUAGCCGACCUGAGAGGGUGAUCAGCCACACUGGAACUGAGACACGGUCCAGACUCCUACGGGAGGCAGCAGUAGGGAAUCUUCCGCAAUGGGCGAAAGCCUGACGGAGCAACGCCGCGUGAGUGAUGAAGGUCUUCGGAUCGUAAAACUCUGUUAUUAGGGAAGAACAAAUGUGUAAGUAACUAUGCACGUCUUGACGGUACCUAAUCAGAAAGCCACGGCUAACUACGUG